ACAGUAGUUUAACCAUAGACAAACAUUGUAUCCUUCCCUCCUUUGUAAUUCAGCUGCUCUUUAUUUUCUUUUUCAGCUUUAUAUGGUUUUAACAUCUGGGCCUUCUGAGUCGUUCCAUGCCUGCUCGCCUUAUUAGAGGGUUUGGUGCUGGAGUUCUCCGACUGAAUGCCAGAGACCUUCCCUUUGUUUUUCUCAGUGACGUACACGAGAACUUUGAGGUGGUGUAAGAACAGAGGGAUUCGUGGCUAAUAAAUACUUCAUCUAAAUGGGCAUACUUGAAGAACAAAAGAAGUUUCCUGCAACUGCUCUGUUUGGCUUUCCUCUACUCAUUUUCAUAACAAUACUGGGACCACAGGGUUGCAUGAGGUAUGUAUUCAUUAUAUCGUCUUCCUUGCACAGAAGGAUGCUUACCCCUGAUAGCUGAGACACUGGUUUGUACAGGUGGGUAGGAAGACAAAUUCUCUUUAAGUAAACUCUUCAGAAAGUUCAGGUUGAACAUCCAGAGCUUGAACUUGAAGAUGGUGACAGGAUUUCCCCUUUUUCUAUACAGUUUCCAGAAGGACAAGAUAUAAUUCUUUCAUCAAAAAGCACAAAUAUGGAACUAAAUUGUCAUAUCAGCUUCAGAUCGUCUAGGCCAAUUUAAUCUGUAGGGAGCAUAUUCUUCACUGAUGAAGAAGAAAACAGGCAAGGAAGAAGAGGAGCUGAAGUGGGAAUUUACAGGAAGAAUGAAAGUGAUGGCUUUGCUCCUCUGUGGUUUCAGGGCUGUUUUUUUUUAGUGGCAAGGGAACUUUUGCAUGAAGGAAAAAUGACCAGGGAUGCAGAUAUUCUUAAAGAACAAGAUAUGUGUAUGGACUAGAGUGUAGUAACAACCCCGUAUUUUGGUGCAGGAAGAAGCAGGAACUAGCCCAUUUCUUUUGUUACUAUACUGGAAUCUGCUGAAGUUAAGGUACAUCUAGGUGCAUUCUCAAUAGUUAUAGCUGUUGUAUAGUUAACAACAGAACACAUCAAAUUAGAGCUAUUGAAGAAACUGUUCUCAGUCUGGACUGUGAAAGCCCUUCUCCCGGUGUAUAUUUUACUUUAACUGGAGUAGAGGAUUCAAAACGUUAUGACUGGUGUCUUCCCAAACCCUGCAUUACCCACAGUGAGAAGCAUAUAUAGAAGGUGCUAUUGAAAUUAGUCUUAAAAAAAAAAAAAGGCAUUAAUGCAUUCAACAAGCAACAAGAAAAUAACCAAGUAAAGCUAGAGGUAAUGGUCUCACUAAUAAAAAAUCCCUUUUAUUCCUAGGUCUGUAAAGU
rnacentral:lncRNA from 1 species